UCUACGGGGGGCAGCAGUGAGGAAUAUUGGUCAAUGGGAGAGAUCCUGAACCAGCCAAGCCGCGUGAGGGCAGACGGCCCUAUGGGUUGUAAACCUCUUUUGUCGGAGAACAAAACCCGGGACGUGUCCCGGGAUGCGUGUAUCCGAAGAAAAAGCAUCGGCUAACUCCGUGCAAGCAGCCGCGGUAAUACGGAGGAUGCGAGUGUUAUCGGGAUUUAUUGGGGUGAAAGGGUGCGUGGGCGGUCCGUUAAGUCAGCGGCAAAAUUGCGGGGCUCAACCCCGUCUAGCCGUUGAAACUGGGAUACUUGAGUUGGCGAGAAGUACGCGGAAUGCGCGGUGUAGCGGUGAAAUGCAUAGAUAUCGCGCAGAACUCCGAUUGCGAAGGCAGCGUACCGGCGCCAGACUGACGCUGAGGCACGAAAGCGUGGGGAUCGAACAGGAUUAGAUACCCUAGUAGUC
rnacentral:rRNA from 1 species